rnacentral:rRNA from 1 species
UACGUAGGGACCGAGCGUUGUCCGGAUUCAUGGGGCGUAAAGAGCUUGUAGGCGGCUGCUCAAGUCGAAUGUGAAAACUCGAGGCUCAACCUCGAGCCUGCAUUCGAUACUGGGCGGCUAGAGUCUGGUAGGGGGAUCUGGAAUUCCUGGUGUAGCGGUGGAAUGCGCAGAUAUCGGGAGGAACACCAGUGGCGAAGGCGACUACCUGGCCUGUUCUUGACGCUGAGGCGCGAAAGCUAGGGGAUCAAACGGG